AGACCCGAAACCCGGUGAUCUAGCCAUGGGCAGGUUGAAGGUUGGGUAACACUAACUGGAGGACCGAACCGACUAAUGUUGAAAAAUUAGCGGAUGACCUGUGGCUGGGGGUGAAAGGCCAAUCAAACCGGGAGAUAGCUGGUUCUCCCCGAAAGCUAUUUAGGUAGCGCCUCGUGAAUUCAUCUCCGGGGGUAGAGCACUGUUUCGGCUAGGGGGCCAUCCCGGCUUACCAACCCGAUGCAAACUGCGAAUACCGGAGAAUGUUAUCACGGGAGACACACGGCGGGUGCUAACGUCCGUCGUGAAGAGGGAAACAACCCAGACCGCCAGCUAAGGUCCCAAAGUCAUGGUUAAGUGGGAAACGAUGUGGGAAGGCCCAGACAGCCAGGAUGUUGGCUUAGAAGCAGCCAUCAUUUAAAGAAAGCGUAAUAGCUCACUGGUCGAGUCGGCCUGCGCGGAAGAUGUAACGGGGCUAAACCAUGCACCGAAGCUGCGGCAGCGACGCUGAUGCGUUGUUGGGUAGGGGAGCGUUCUGUAAGCCUGUGAAGGUGGCCUGUGAGGGUUGCU
rnacentral:rRNA from 1 species